GUAUAGCCCCGAUGGGAACGGCAUCCUUUUUAUUGGGAUUUGUUUUUACAAAUUCCGAUAAAAAGAUACAGUGGACAGCGGGAGGAGGC
rnacentral:sRNA from 1 species